GUGAUUAUGAUGAAAUCGGUAGACAUGCAAAUUUGAGGGGUUUGUGGAAUAAAUUCCGUCUCGGUUCAAGUCCGAGUAAUCGCA
rnacentral:tRNA from 1 species